rnacentral:sRNA from 1 species
CACCAUGAAUCCACUCCUGAUCCUUACCUUUGUGGCUGCUGCUGUUGCUGCCCCCUUUGAUGAUGAUGACAAGAUCGUUGGGGGUUACACCUGUAGGAAGAAUUCUCUCCCCUACCAGGUGUCCCUGAAUUCUGGGUACCACUUCUGCGGUGGUUCCCUCAUCAACGAACAGUGGGUGGUGUCAGCAGGUCACUGCUACAAGUCGUAAGUGUGGGGCCCCUGACUGCAAAGCUCCCCACCAGGCUGCCUGGGAGAUCUUGGCUUCAGCCCAGGGAAAUACAGAGUUUGCGUAAGAUGGAUGGGAGAGGGGGUGGAGAAGAAAACUUGUUGGCAGCAGCUGACUCUCCAGAGCAGAGAAUGAACACAAGACAGGAACCUCUCACACCCAGGCAAAUCCAUGAAACAGCAAGGGUUGUGGUCAUACAAGCAGGCAGGGGUGGUCUUGGAGUGGUCAGAGCUAGUGAGAAAAGCAGGCAAGUACCUUUUGCUGGUUGGCUACACAUUAAAGCCACUUAAGAAAGAGUUGUUAAAAAUACUGAUGCCUGUGUCCUAUCCCAGGGCAAUUAACUCAAAAUUUUCAG